rnacentral:rRNA from 1 species
GUUGAUAGGUCAGAGGUGUAAGUGCGGCAACGUAUUUAGCUGACUGAUACUAAUAGGUCGAGGGCUUGACCAA